AUCUAUGUUUAAAGAAAAAAAAACAGAAAAGGAAAAAAGACCAAAUCUGUCGACGCUUCUUUUCCCAUCCAUGGCGAUUGAAGGAAAAAAUAAUAGAAAGGAACAAAUCGACGCUUCAUCCCCAUCCAUGGCGAUUGAAGGUUCAGAAAUCAAUAUCAAUACCGGUAAAUACUGUAACGAUGGCUUGAAGAUCUUCAACGAUGAGGGUAACAAAUCUGAUUUGGAAACAAAAUCAAACCGUUGGUUGGAAACUCGUAAGAUCCACCAAGGACUUCUCGUAUUCCUGUCUCUUAAGAUCCGAAGGCUUCAUUUCUAUUUCCGUUGUUUGAUAUUUGGGUUUCAAUUUCGCCGAGUGAUAAUCAGAUUUGAAAGAAAACUAAUCGGUAAGUAUAAUUUAAGUUUUUAAUCAUUUGUUAAAAGUUAAUCUCAGAUAUUUAGUCACCAAAUAUAUGCAUGUAACAUUUUUUGGAUUUUUUUUUGCAUGUGAGAUUGGAAUGGUUUCCAAGAAUCCGACGAAGUUCAGAAGCGGGUGAAAAUCUGAUCAAUUAAAAUUGAUUCGACAACAUCUCUGCCUAAAUAAAAGCCAAGUAACUGUCCCAAUAAAGCAUCUUCUUCAAGAUCUCCCAAGUCCACAACUUGACCAAUCACAUCUGAAAAAAAACAUCAAUACUUAGCCAGAGGCCACGAGAGUACAAUAGAUAAGAAGAUUGCGUAAAUAAUUACCAAUGAGAAAACAUGUUUUGAGUGAUCCACCCAAAACAGUCUGGAAGUCCACCAAGCUUAGAAACAUGUCUUCGUUGGUAAGAGGAGACCUUGUGAUUGCCGUAUUCUGAAUGAUGCUCAUUUUGAAGGGAUGAUCGGUUGCUCGGUACAUGCCAGUUGAAGGACUGAGGGUGAAAUUCUGAAUGUGCCUCCAUGCUCCAACAGGAAGAAGGCGGCCUUUACUCUCCAUGCAACGAAACAGAGUUAUGUUCUUCGGGUAGAGGUUGAGUGAGAAAUCGAAAGAAGGUUCAGCAAGCAAGGUGUUUGUUGCUGCAUUUUGAUGAUCCAACUGGAUUAAUCUUAAACUAUGAGGAAUUUUUAUGGAAAAAACGUGAUCAAGCUCUGCCUUUUGUUGUUGCUCUUCAAGUAACUUCGCUGGGUAAAAGUAGAGUGAGAAUCGAAAAAGCAUCUUGCAUGAAAUAGCGUUGAAAUUGUUAAGUUUUAUAAAAUAAUAAAUGAUGACUAAUUUUUUUAAAUAAUUAAUAUUAAUUCAGUGGCAUUCACUUGUAAUUAUCAGAAAAACUCAGGACUGAGUACAAAAUAUACUCUUGUUUUAAUACAUUA